UCAUAAUAGGCACCCAAGCAAUCAUAUCUCCGAUCGAAGCAUCGAUCAAAUCGACCUAGUCGAUUAUAUUCCAACAAGACCACUCACGGUCAUUUCCAUUCAGUCAAUCAAUUCACAACAUCAAAUCAAAGCAAGGAUCAAUCGACUUAGUCGAUUACAUGCCAGACGGACCAUUCUAGGUCAUUGAUUCCACACCAUAUAUUCUUUCAUCGAGUACUCGGUCACAGAGCCACAUCAAUGCUCUCGGGCGUCAACUUCGCCAAGGUGACGUAUCCACUAGACAACUGUGUGCGUUCUUUAAGGCGCCGUUUUCGCCAGUGAUAUCCCAAAUCACCGAACCACACAUGCCUACAAUGAUUUUAUCAAUAGACAAUUGCGUGCGUUCUUUAAGGCGCCAUUUUCGCCAGUGAUGUCCUUAUCACCGAACCACGCAUGCCUAUAACCAUGUACUCACUAGACAAUUGUGUGCGUUCUUUAAGGCGCCGUUUUCGCCAGUGAGUUCCAUAAUCACCGAACCACACAUGCCUAUAACAAUAUAUUUAAUAGACAAGUGUAUGCGUUCUUUAAGGCGCCGUUUUU
rnacentral:lncRNA from 1 species